rnacentral:lncRNA from 1 species
AGGUGGGAACAUUCUAGUUUCUAAUUUGUGCUAUUGCUAUCAUGGAUAUCCAUGAUGUCCAUGAAUGUGUUGUGAAUAUUUUUUUAUAAAUCUUUAACAGUACAUUUAAAAAUUUAUAUUUAAAUUUGUAUUCAAAUUUAUAUUCUAUCAUUAGUGAAACUAUUAAUUUGAUGUAUAUAAAUAUUUAGUAAUAGUAACAGAUGU